rnacentral:rRNA from 1 species
AUACGGAGGGGGCUAGCGUUGUUCGGAUUUACUGGGCGUAAAGCGCACGUAGGCGGUUUAUCAAGUUAGGCGUGAAAGCCCCGGGCUCAACCCGGGAACUGCGCUUAUUACUGAUAGACUAGAGAGCGGGAGAGGGUAGCGGAAUUCCCAGUGUAGAGGUGAAAUUCGUAGAUAUUAGGAAGAACACCAGUGGCGAAGGCGACUUCCUGGGCCAAUACUGACGCUGAGGUGCGAAAGCGUGGGGAGCAAACAGGAUUAGAAACCCCAGUAGUCC